rnacentral:rRNA from 2 species
CAUCGCCUCCUGCAAUACAACCAAGUAUAGGAGGUCCAGCCUGCCCAGUGACCACAAGUUCAACGGCCGCGGUAUUUUGACCGUGCAAAGGUAGCGCAAUCACUUGUCUUUUAAAUAGAGACCUGUAUGAAUGGCUAAACGAGGGCUUAACUGUCUCCCUUUUCAGGUCAGUGAAAUUGAUCUACCCGUGCAGAAGCGGGUAUAAUAAUACAAGACGAGAAGACCCUUUGGAGCUUAAGGUACAAAACUCAACCACGUCAAGCAACUUAACAAAAAGUAAAAACUUUGUGAAACAUGAGAUUUUACCUUCGGUUGGGGCGACCGCGGAGGAAAAAAAAGCCUCCAAGUGGACCGGGACAAACUCCUAAAACCAAGAGAAACAUCUCUAAGCCACAGAACAUCUGACCAAACAUGAUCCGGCCACCAGGACCGAUCAACGAACCAAGUUACCCUAGGGAUAACAGCGCAAUCCCCUCCCAGAGUCCAUAUCGACGAGGGGGUUUACGACCUCGAUGUUGGAUCAGGACAUCCUAAUGGUGCAGCCGCUAUUAAGGGUUCGUUUGUUCAACGAUUAAAGUCCUACGUGAUCUGA